rnacentral:rRNA from 1 species
GACGAACCGUGCGAACGUUAUUCGGAAUCACUGGGCUUAAAGCGCGUGUAGGCGGGCCGCCGCGUCGGCUGGUGAAAUCCCCCGGCUCAACCGGGGAAGGGGCACCGAUACGGGCGGCCUGGAGGGGGGUAGGGGGGUCUGGAACUUCCGGUGGAGCGGUGAAAUGCGUUGAGAUCGGAAGGAACGCCCGUGGCGAAAGCGAGGCCCUGGACCCUUACUGACGCUGAGACGCGAAAGCCAGGGGAGCGAACGGG